UGGGCAACCUGCCCCUCUCUCUGGGAUAACCCCGGGAAAUCGGAGCUAAUACCGGAUACGAGACCGAGUGGCAUCACACGGUCUGGAAAGUUUUUCGGUUAGGGAUGGGGUCGCGGCCUAUCAGCUUGUUGGUGGGGUAAUGGCCUACCAAGGCGACGACGGGUAGCCGGCCUGAGAGGGCGACCGGCCACACUGGGACUGAGACAUGGCCCAGACUCCUACGGGAGGCA
rnacentral:rRNA from 1 species